GAUGAACGUUGGCGGCGUGCCUAAUACAUGCAAGUCGAACGAAACUUCUUUAUCACCGAGUGCUUGCACUCACCGAUAAAGAGUUGAGUGGCGAACGGGUGAGUAACACGUGGGCAACCUGCCCAAAAGAGGGGAUAACACUUGGAAACAGGUGCUAAUACCGCAUAACCAUAGUUACCGCAUGGUAACUAUGUAAAAGGUGGCUAUACUACCGCUUUUGGAUGGGCCCGCGGCGCAUUAGCUAGUUGGUAGGGUAAAGGCUUACCAAGGCAAUGAUGCGUAGCCGAAUUGAGAGGUUGAUCGGCCACAUUGGGACUGAGACACGGCCCAAACUCCUACGGGAGGCAGCAGUAGGGAAUCUUCCACAAUGGGCGAAAGCCUGAUGGAGCAACGCCGCGUGGGUGAAGAAGGUCUUCGGAUCGUAAAACCCUGUUGUUAGAGAAGAAAGUGCGUGAGAGUAACUGUUCACGUUUCGACGGUAUCUAACCAGAAAGCCACGGCUAACUACGUG
rnacentral:rRNA from 1 species